rnacentral:rRNA from 1 species
UGUCUCUGCCUCACCACCCUAACUGCCCGAUCUCGUUCGAUCUCAGAAGCUAAGCAGUGACGGGCCUGUUAGUACUUGGAUGGGGGAGCCAAAAGGACAAAGACUC